rnacentral:rRNA from 1 species
GGUUAAGCGACUAAGCGUACACGGUGGAUGCCCUGGCAGUCAGAGGCGAUGAAGGACGUGCUAAUCUGCGAUAAGCGUCGGUAAGGUGAUAUGAACCGUUAUAACCGGCGAUUUCCGAAUGGGGAAACCCAGUGUGAUUCGUCACACUAUCAUUAACUGAAUCCAUAGGUUAAUGAGGCGAACCGGGGGAACUGAAACAUCUAAGUACCCCGAGGAAAAGAAAUCAACCGAGAUUCCCCCAGUAGCGGCGAGCGAACGGGGAGCAGCCCAGAGCCUGAAUCAGUGUGUGUGUUAGUGGAAGCGUCUGGAAAGGCGUGCGAUACAGGGUGACAGCCCCGUACACAAAAAUGCACAUACUGUGAGCUCGAUGAGUAGGGCGGGACACGUGGUAUCCUGUCUGAAUAUGGGGGGACCAUCCUCCAAGGCUAAAUACUCCUGACUGACCGAUAGUGAACCAGUACCGUGAGGGAAAGGCGAAAAGAACCCCGGCGAGGGGAGUGAAAAAGAACCUGAAACCGUGUACGUACAAGCAGUGGGAGCACGCUUAGGCGUGUGACUGCGUACCUUUUGUAUAAUGGGUCAGCGACUUAUAUUCUGUAGCAAGGUUAACCGAAUAGGGGAGCCGAAGGGAAACCGAGUCUUAACUGGGCGUUAAGUUGCAGGGUAUAGACCCGAAACCCGGUGAUCUAGCCAUGGGCAGGUUGAAGGUUGGGUAACACUAACUGGAGGACCGAACCGACUAAUGUUGAAAAAUUAGCGGAUGACUUGUGGCUGGGGGUGAAAGGCCAAUCAAACCGGGAGAUAGCUGGUUCUCCCCGAAAGCUAUUUAGGUAGCGCCUCGUGAAUUCAUCUCCGGGGGUAGAGCACUGUUUCGGCAAGGGGGUCAUCCCGACUUACCAAC